ACAACAUUCGGACCGUCGGUAUACCGAGCAAUAUCACCCGCUCGGAGGAAAACUUCCUUUCGUCGU
rnacentral:pre_miRNA from 1 species